AAGAUAAAAAAUCAUCUUAUUCUGCCAUGUCUUAAAAUCAGUACCAGCAAACUUAUCCGGUCGAAUUGCAUGAUUCACCGGAAAUGGAGCCGAAAACGAUGGCAAAGGUACCGAGGCCGCAACCCUAGGUACUGGCAAAGGUAUUGUGCCAAACUGGAUUGUCGAGGCCGCAGCCGUAGGCAAAGUGGGGUUCAUUCCAACAAGAGGAAUCCCGCCACCAAUUGUCCCAUCAACAGGAGGAAUGCCAGUCGAGGUCUCCACAGGGUUCACAGCGGUCCCAACAGUGUUACUUCCAUUGUUCACGUCAUCAUUUCCAUAUGACGCCAUUUAACCUUAGAACACGCAACAAACAAUUUAGAAUAAUUAUAGAUUUGAGAUCAAGUUAUCUGUUCGAGAAAAAUAAACUGUAGAACCAAAACCACGCAGGCAUGAACUAAGAAACUUCCUGUAA
rnacentral:lncRNA from 1 species